rnacentral:rRNA from 1 species
CGUGGAUACUGGAAACCGGAGCUAAUACCGGAUAAUAUAUUGAACCGCAUGGUUCAAUGGUGAAAGACGGUUUUGCUGUCACUUAUAGAUGGAUCCGCGCCGCAUUAGCUAGUUGGUAAGGUAACGGCUUACCAAGGCAACGAUGCGUAGCCGACCUGAGAGGGUGAUCGGCCACACUGGAACUGAGACACGGUCCAGACUCCUACGGGAGGCAGCAGCU